GACGAACGCUGGCGGCGUGCUUAACACAUGCAAGUCGAACGGAAAGGCCCUGCUUGCAGGGUACUCGAGUGGCGAACGGGUGAGUAACACGUGGGUGAUCUGCCCUGCACUUCGGGAUAAGCUUGGGAAACUGGGUCUAAUACCGGAUAGGAGCCAUCUUUAGUGUGGUGGUUGGAAAGUUUUUUCGGUGUAGGAUGAGCUCGCGGCCUAUCAGCUUGUUGGUGGGGUAAUGGCCUACCAAGGCGGCGACGGGUAGCCGGCCUGAGAGGGUGUACGGCCACAUUGGGACUGAGAUACGGCCCAGACUCCUACGGGAGGCAGCAGUGGGGAAUAUUGCACAAUGGGCGCAAGCCUGAUGCAGCGACGCCGCGUGGGGGAUGAAGGCCUUCGGGCUGUAAACUCCUGUCGCUAGGGACGAAGCUUUUUUGUGACGGUACCUAGAGAAGAAGCACCGGCUAACUACGCG
rnacentral:rRNA from 1 species